GACGAACGCUGGCGGCGUGCUUAACACAUGCAAGUCGAACGGUAAGGCCCAGCUUGCUGGGUACACGAGUGGCGAACGGGUGAGUAACACGUGGGUGAUCUGCCCUGCACUCUGGGAUAAGCCUGGGAAACUGGGUCUAAUACUGGAUAUGAGCUCCUGCUGCAUGGUGGGGGUUGGAAAGUUUUUUCGGUGCAGGAUGGGCCCGCGGCCUAUCAGUUUGUUGGUGGGGUAAUGGCCUACCAAGGCGAUGACGGGUAGCCGACCUGAGAGGGUGAUCGGCCACACUGGGACUGAGACACGGCCCAGACUCCUACGGGAGGCAGCAGUGGGGAAUAUUGCACAAUGGGCGGAAGCCUGAUGCAGCGACGCCGCGUGAGGGAUGACGGCCUUCGGGUUGUAAACCUCUUUCGCUAGGGACGAAGCGCAAGUGACGGUACCUAGAGAAGAAGCACCGGCCAACUACGUGCCAGCCGCCGCCGUAACAC
rnacentral:rRNA from 1 species